rnacentral:lncRNA from 1 species
UGGAAUGCCCAGCCGGGGUCUGCACGUUGUUCUGCAGCUAGCAAGGGGAAGACUGACUAAUUAGGUGACUUCUUGACUUUGUGGAGUCUGGACGAGGCUGUGAACUGCCAAAUGCAGCUGGAAAAUCAAAAGCCACUAAAGCUUCACAUGGAUCACAAAACUGCAACUGUUAAAAACCAUGGAUGUGGAACCUGGGGAUACAGACGGCUGGCUGGAUUUGAUUUUGCAGUCUCAAUCCACAGAGGUGAAGAGUCCAGCCUUCCUGAAUUCAGCAAAAUAACAGAUGGAGAUACAGCCCUGCAUCUUCUCACCCAGAACCCUGAGGAUAACUCACAUCGCUGCUGGAGAGAGCCAAAAGCAGACACGCCCAGAGAUGACCUCCCAAAAGCUUCAGCUAACCAUCCAACUCUUAAUUAGAAACACAGGACUGCUUCGUGUUCUGCCAACUAAUACAAUUCAGGAAAACCAGAAAGUAGGAAGUAUUUAUGGGGAGCAAUCAAAAGAGGGUUACAAUAAAAAUUUUAUUUUGCCUCAUUCCUACAUUUGGCAUCAAAAUUUGGCUUAAUUGUUGUCUCACGAUCUUUAGCUCAGGUUCCCAACGAUUCAGCUGACUUAGGAAAGAACAAGCGCCAUGUCAAGCUAAUUCCCUUUUCUGUAAGAACUUUAUGGAGAUGGAACUGUGGGUCUGCUUCAUUAUCUUCCUCUCCUCCUCCCAGGAGGUCACCUGCUCCCUCCCACAGGAAUCAUUUUGCGCU